AACACUGUUAACCUGCGGUACCUGCGGAAGGAUCAUUACCGAGUUUACAACUCCCAAACCCCUGUGAACAUACCUAUACGUUGCCUCGGCGGAUCAGCCCGCGCCCCGUAAAAAGGGACGGCCCGCCCGAGGACCCCUAAACUCUGUUUUUAGUGGAACUUCUGAGUAAAACAAACAAAUAAAUCAAAACUUUUAACAACGGAUCU
rnacentral:misc_RNA from 1 species